CAGCCGCGGUAAUACUAAAGGUGCAAGCGUUAAUCGGAAUUACUGGGCGUAAAGCGCGCGUAGGUGGUUUGUUAAGUUGGAUGUGAAAGCCCAGGGCUCAACCUUGGAACUGCAUUCAAAACUGACUCACUAGAGUACGAGAGAGGUUAGUGGAAUUUCCUGUGUAGCGGUGAAAUGCGUAGAGAUGGGAAGGAACACCAGUGGCGAAGGCGACUGACUGGCUCGAUACUGACACUGAGGUGCGAAAGCGUGGGGAGCAAACGGGAUUAGAUACCCCGGUAGUCCACGCCGUAAACGAUGUCUACUAGCCGUUGGAGGACUUGAUCCUUUAGUGGCGCAGCUAACGCGAUAAGUAGACCGCCUGGGGAGUACGGUCGCAAGAUUAAAACUCAAAGGAUUGAC
rnacentral:rRNA from 1 species